AUGGGUCCGAGCAUCUAAAUGCAGGAAGAGUAUCUUCAAAAGAGAGCGGGAGCCUCCCACUUGCUCACUGUUGGUCAUCAAUAACUUUGUACUGAUCGGAUAUAAUAUGCAAAAGGAAAGUUUCCUAUGUGUUUGUGAAAAGCAAGUGUGUUUAAGUUUCUUUCAGAACUUUCCUCCCUUCUGGUUGACCUGAAUCUGCGUGAGAGCCAGAAUAGAGAACUCUCUUGAAAACUUAUGAACAAAACUACAAAUGAGCUUUUCUGAAGUACAACAUCAGAAUACCUCAUGCCUGCAAAAUUAUAGUGAAAAGUCACGGGGAAAUUCCACACUUCUUCAGCCAGAAUGCAUAUUCCAAAGUAACAGAAGGCAUUUGUGAAGACACUUCAUCCCAAGGAUGCAAAGAUUUCAAGAAGAAAGUCUGAGAACUAAUUUGGUUACAAUAGUUGAUAAUUUGUGCUACCUCUGUGUCAAAUGUCAAAAAUCCAGCUGCUUUUCCCUUCUAGAUUUUAAAACAAAAGUUCAAAAUGGCAUCUGUUUCAUAAGCCCAAAAUUACAAUGAAGGUACAAAGAAGAAAUAUGUUAAUCUGCCACACUUAUCAGCCCAGUGACUAACAUUGCUACCUCCUGUGAGUUCCUUUGCCUGUUUAGAUUUUAUGCGAAGUAUUCUAAUCAUGAAGCCAUCCAGUCUUAAACUAAGGCAGCCUAAAACCCUCAGUGUGCUAUGUCUACCAAAGGCCAGAAGAUUAGGAUAUCUGUUUCAUCCUAAGCAAACAGCAUUUCAGGCACAAAAUAAUCAACCGGACCACCUCACUUCUCAAAUUAAGAGGAAGGAAGUCAUUCUGUUUGUGUUUACUCUCUACCUGCUUCUUUUAUAUCAGAAACUCUGGAAGGUAUUUUACCCAUUUAAUUAUCUCUUAUUAGAAGAACGCAAAAGAGAAACAAGGACUCCCCCACACUCCUUCACCACCUUCUCUUGUUCAUUUCCCAAUAAUGCUGUGACCAUCUUGUUAAGAUUAAAAAUAAAUGAAAGGAACACAGCUCUUUGGUGAUUAUGGAGUCUCCAAUGUGCCCAAAAUGUUUAUUCUCUAAGUUAUUUCAGAUGAGGGGGAGGAGUUUUUCCUGUAGGUCUAUUGAAUCAGAAUCACAUUAACAUCGAACACCUUAGCAACUAAGAGAAACUUUGCAGAUAAAAGAAUCUCUAAGUGUGUGAUUUCAAAGGAGGAAAUAAUUUGUCUUUGGAAUGAUUAAAAGAGCCACAAGGAAGCUGGCCCCGCAUUAGAUAACACCAUGAAAAUAACUGCAUAACAGUAUGUGUCUUUGAGAAGAGUUCAAUAUAUUCCUA